GACGAACGCUGGCGGCGUGCUUAACACAUGCAAGUCGAGCGGCGCGGCGAACGGGUGAGUAACGCGUGAGUAACUGCCCCCCUCUCUGGGCUAACAGUUGGAAACGGCUGCUAAUACCGGAUAGUGGGGGAUGACUCGCGUCCUAUCGGCUUGUUGGGGGGGUAGUGGCCUACGAAGGCGACGACGGGUAGCCGGCCUGAGAGGGCGACCGGCCAAAGUGGGCUGAGAUAGGGCGCAAACGGCUACGGGAGGCAACAGUGGGGAAUAUUGCACAAUGGGGGAAACCCGGAUGCAGCAACGCCGCGUGCGUGAUGACGGCCAUCGGGUUGUAAACCGCUUUCAGCCAAGACGCGGUAGUGGCAGAAGAAGCACCGGCUAACUACGUGCCAGCAGCCGCGGUAAUUC
rnacentral:rRNA from 1 species